rnacentral:rRNA from 1 species
UACGAAGGGGGCUAGCGUUGUUCGGAAUUACUGGGCGUAAAGCGCACGUAGGCGGACAUUUAAGUCAGGGGUGAAAUCCCGGGGCUCAACCCCGGAACGGCCUUUGAUACUGGGUGUCUUGAGUUCGGAAGAGGUGAGUGGAAUUGCGAGUGUAGAGGUGAAAUUCGUAGAUAUUCGCAGGAACACCAGUGGCGAAGGCGGCUCACUGGUCCGAUACUGACGCUGAGGUGCGAAAGCGUGAGGAGCAAACAGG